rnacentral:misc_RNA from 1 species
GUUGAGGGCAUUGUCACGAAAUGUACUUUUAUUUUUAUAAAUGUCCUGUUUACUUUCUUUGCAUCUCAGGCUUCACUGUAUUCUACUAUUUAAUUCCAUAUUUUUCCCUUCAUUUAUUUGUCAUUUUGGUUCACAAAAAUUAAUAACUUAAGUAAAAAAAACAGAAUGCUGAUUUUUCCUACUAAUUUUAUCAUGCAAACAUUAAAGGCCUGACAUCUAAUCUGCAUAUUCAAAACGCUUAAUUUUGCGAAACUAGGAUCUCAUUCUAAAGAGUUUAUCAUAUGUUUUGCUUAAUUAGACUGGUAACAUGAAGAUGACUUUUGAAUAUGAUGUUAAAGUAUGCACCUGGAAUACCUUACUGGAUUUUAAGCAGAAGUUAUGUGCUUUUGCUUUGCUCAGUAAUUCUUUUAAUUUCUUAUUCUUAUUGUAAUUGCAUGUGUCUGAAUCAAGUAAAUGAUGCACACUUCAAAAGGCAAAAAUGCUACUUGUAGGUACUUUGAAUUUUGCUAGAAAGUAUUAAUGUACUGACAUAUGUUCUUGUCAUGUCAACUCUCUUAUACAUGUGUAAUCUACACAAGGGCUGCCCAUGUGAAACUGAAAAUACUGCAUGACUAUAACUAAUGCCUAAAACAUAUUUCUUUGCAGUUUAAGCAUGGUGCCAG